rnacentral:rRNA from 1 species
UACGUAGGGGGCAAGCGUUGUCCGGAAUCAUUGGGCGUAAAGCGCGCGUAGGCGGCCCGGUAAGUCCGUUGUGAAAGUCAAAGGCUCAACCUUUGAACGCCGAUGGAUACUGCCGGGCUAGAGUCCGGAAGAGGCGAGUGGAAUUCCUGGUGGUAGCGGUGGAAUGCGCAGAUAUCAGGAGGAACACCAAUAGCGAAGGCAGCUCGCUGGGACGGUACUGACGCUAAGGCGCGAAGGCGUGGGGAGCGAACAGG